AGAGUUUGAUCCUGGCUCAGGACGAACGCUGGCGGCACGCUUAACACAUGCAAGUCGAACGAGAGAAGAGGAGCUUGCUUUUCUGAUCUAGUGGCGGACGGGUGAGUAACACGUGAGCAAUCUGCCUUUCAGAGGGGGAUACCGAUUGGAAACGAUCGUUAAUACCGCAUAACAUAAUUGAACCGCAUGAUUUGAUUAUCAAAGAUUUAUCGCUGAAAGAUGAGCUCGCGUCUGAUUAGCUAGUUGGUAAGGUAACGGCUUACCAAGGCGACGAUCAGUAGCCGGACUGAGAGGUUGAUCGGCCACAUUGGGACUGAGACACGGCCCAGACUCCUACGGGAGGCAGCAGUGGGGAAUAUUGCACAAUGGAGGAAACUCUGAUGCAGCGAUGCCGCGUGAGGGAAGAAGGUUUUAGGAUUGUAAACCUCUGUCUUCAGGGACGAAAAAAGACGGUACCUGGGGAGGAAGCUCCGGCUAACUACGUGCCAGCAGCCGCGGUAAUACGUAGGGAGCGAGCGUUGUCCGGAAUUACUGGGUGUAAAGGGAGCGUAGGCGGGAUCGCAAGUCAGAUGUGAAAACUAUGGGCUUAACCCAUAAACUGCAUUUGAAACUGUGGUUCUUGAGUGAAGUAGAGGUAAGCGGAAUUCCUAGUGUAGCGGUGAAAUGCGUAGAUAUUAGGAGGAACAUCAGUGGCGAAGGCGGCUUACUGGGCUUUAACUGACGCUGAGGCUCGAAAGCGUGGGGAGCAAACAGGAUUAGAUACCCUGGUAGUCCACGCCGUAAACGAUGAUUACUAGGUGUGGGGGGACUGACCCCUUCCGUGCCGCAGCAAACGCAAUAAGUAAUCCACCUGGGGAGUACGACCGCAAGGUUGAAACUCAAAGGAAUUGACGGGGGCCCGCACAAGCAGUGGAGUAUGUGGAUUAAUUCGAAGCAACGCGAAGAACCUUACCAGGUCUUGACAUCGUAUGCAUAGCUCAGAGAUGAGUGAAAUCUCUUCGGAGACAUAUAGACAGGUGGUGCAUGGUUGUCGUCAGCUCGUGUCGUGAGAUGUUGGGUUAAGUCCCGCAACGAGCGCAACCCUUACUGUUAGUUGCUACGCAAGAGCACUCUAGCAGGACUGCCGUUGACAAAACGGAGGAAGGUGGGGAUGACGUCAAAUCAUCAUGCCCCUUAUGACCUGGGCCUCACACGUACUACAAUGGCUGUCAACAGAGGGAAGCAAAGCCGCGAGGUGGAGCGAACCCCUAAAAGCAGUCUUAGUUCGGAUUGUAGGCUGCAACCCGCCUACAUGAAGUCGGAAUUGCUAGUAAUCGCAGAUCAGCAUGCUGCGGUGAAUACGUUCCCGGGCCUUGUACACACCGCCCGUCACGCCAUGGGAGUCGGUAACACCCGAAGCCUGUAGUCUAACCGCAAGGAGGACGCAGUCGAAGGUGGGAUUGAUGACUGGGGUGAAGUCGUAACAAGGUA
rnacentral:rRNA from 1 species